GACGUAGGGCGCGAGCGUUGUCCGGAUUUAUUGGGCGUAAAGAGCUCGUAGGCGGCUUGUCGCGUCGACUGUGAAAACCCGCGGCUCAACUGCGGGCCUGCAGCCGAUACGGGCAGGCGUAGAGUUCGGUAGGGGAGACUGGAAUUCCUGGAUGUAGCGGUGAAAUGCGCAGAUAUCAGGAGGGAACACCGGUGGCCGAAGGCGGGUCUCUGGGCCGAUA
rnacentral:rRNA from 1 species